CCAACAGCCAGACGUAGGCGAACCGCUGAGCGAACGCGGCUUAGGUUCCAGCUGCCCCCCGAAGUUAAGGGAGCAAGACCAGCUUGGAAAUCCGGGCAUCGAAUAUUCCUGCAGGCUGUGGAGAAUAUUCCUCUGAGAGUUGGAUUUAUUGUGUAACCUCACUGCUACGCCCCUCAAAGUCUGUAAUGAUAUUCACAUGGGAUCCAUUAUCACAUCAUGGUGCAAGUGAAGGAUGCCUUUGACCAUUUCAUUGGAGGGAUUUCAGUAACCUUGAAAGCAAAAACAGUUAAUAAAACUUAGGAGAAGAGAGAUCAGGAUCCAAGAAGUGCAACAAAUUAUGAUGGAGUAGCUUCAUUUGUGGUGAACAUUCCCUCUGAUGUGACAAUGCUGGAG